rnacentral:rRNA from 1 species
CAGUCGCCGCGGGAAUACGAAGGGUGCAAGCGUUAAUCGGAAUUACUGGGCGUAAAGCGCACGUAGGCGGCUUGGUAAGUUAGAGGUGAAAGCCCGGAGCUCAACUCCGGAAUUGCCUUUAAGACUGCCGAGCUAGUAGGUGAGAGAGGUAAGUGGAAUUCCGAGUGUAGAGGUGAAAUUCGUAGAUAUUCGGAAGAACACCAGUGGCGAAGGCGGCUUACUGGCUCAUUCUAGACGCUGAGGUGCGAAAGCGUGGGGAGCAAACAGGAUUAGAUACCCCAGUAGUCCCUGUCUCUUAUAC